UAGGGAAUCUUCCACAAUGGACGAAAGUCUGAUGGAGCAACGCCGCGUGAGUGAUGAAGGGUUUCGGCUCGUAAAACUCUGUUGUUGGAGAAGAACGGGUGUCAGAGUAACUGUUGACAUCGUGACGGUAUCCAACCAGAAAGCCACGGCUAACUACGUGCCAGCAGCCGCGGUAAUACGUAGGUGGCAAGCGUUGUCCGGAUUUAUUGGGCGUAAAGCGAGCGCAGGCGGUUUUUUAGGUCUGAUGUGAAAGCCUUCGGCUUAACCGGAGAAGUGCAUCGGAAACCGGGAGACUUGAGUGCAGAAGAGGACAGUGGAACUCCAUGUGUAGCGGUGAAAUGCGUAGAUAUAUGGAAGAACACCAGUGGCGAAGGCGGCUGUCUGGUCUGCAACUGACGCUGAGGCUCGAAAGCAUGGGUAGCGAACAGGAUUAGAUACCCUGGUAGUCCAUGCCGUAAACGAUGAGUGCUAAGUGUUGGAGGGUUUCCGCCCUUCAGUGCUGCAGCUAACGCAUUAAGCACUCCGCCUGGGGGAGUACGACCGCAAGGUUG
rnacentral:rRNA from 1 species